CCUACGGGUGGCAGCAGUGAGGAAUAUUGGUCAAUGGACGAGAGUCUGAACCAGCCAAGUAGCGUGAAGGAUGACUGCCCUAUGGGUUGUACACUUCUUUUAUAAAGGAAUAAAACGAGGCACGUGUGCCUUUUUGCAUGUACUUUAUGAAUAAGGAUCGGCUAACUCCGUGCCAGCAGCCGCGGUAAUACGGAGGAUCCGAUCGUUAUCCGGAUUUUUUGGGUUUAAAGGGAGCGUAGAUGGGGUGUUAAGUCAGUGGGGAAAGUUUGCGGCUCAACCGUAAAAGUGCAAUUGAUAAUGGCAGUGUUGAGUAGAGUUGAGGUAGGCGGAAUUGGUGGUGUAGCGGUGAAAUGCUGAGAUAUCACGAAGAACCCCGAUUGCGAAGGCAGCUUACUAAACUGUUACUGACAUUGAUGCUCGAAAGUGUGGGUAUCAAACAGGAUUAGAUACCCCUGUAGUC
rnacentral:rRNA from 1 species